rnacentral:rRNA from 1 species
GAUGAACGCUAGCGGAGGCUUAAUACAUGCAAGUCGAGGGGUAACAGUGGAGCUUGCUCCAGCUGACGACCGGCGAACGGGUGAGUAACGCGUACACAAUCUACCCUUAAGUGAGGAAUAGCCCUGGGAAACUGGGAUUAAUACCUCAUAUUAUCUUGAAGUGGCAUCGCUUUAAGAUUAAAGCUCCGGCGCUUAAGGAUGAGUGUGCGUCCCAUUAGCUUGUUGGUAAGGUAACGGCUUACCAAGGCAACGAUGGGUAGGGGGCGUGAGAGCGUGAUCCCCCACACGGGUACUGAGACACGGACCCG